UGGGUUGUGGCUCAGUGGUAGAGUACUUGCCUAGCAUGUGUGAGGCACUGGGUUCAAUCCUCAGCACCACAU
rnacentral:tRNA from 1 species